UUGUGGGCUGACUGCUUUGCACACUGAUCUAAGUGCUCAGUGUAGAUGUACCCAUGAUCCUCUUAUAAUUUAAAGCCCUUUGAAAUAACUAGUAGAAUAAUUGCAUAUUUUUCUGUGAUAGUACGUAUUCCCACUACCUACCACAUCCAUUCUCUGUUGAAUUUUGAGAAAACUGUGCAAGGAAAUUCAUUCAUGCUGGACUACUUUAAUAAUGGCAGCAAUACAAUUAACCUGUGAGCUUCUCUCUCAUCAUAUAUUGUACCCUCAAGAAAUUACUUGGAUAGCUUUAAUUAUGUUUGUGCCUUUACUUUCAACCCUCUUUUAUCUUUUUUUUCAUUUCCUUUUAGGAUGGGGGAAGGGUCUCAGAUUCUCUGAAGGCUCUUUGUUUUCCUUGCUCAGGUAUUAAAUUGAUGGCACAACAAUCUUGGAAUACAUUAGGUCCACUUCCCUGCUCUGUCUAAAUGUAGGCCUUGUAUUAUCUUUCACUCCCCCUCCUUCUGUGUUCACCAUUUUCCACCAAGUGUAAAUCUUAUGCAGGGCACCUAAAGAAUGAGCUGCAGGAAUGUACCAGAACAGAGACAAAUUGUUCAUACUGUGUGAAGAAGGAAAAAGAAAAGAGGAGGGAGGACGAUGAAGGGGGCAGUUGGGAAGAGAAGAAAAGCAUCCCUUGUCAGUUGAGGUUCUUUGGAGAUAUGUGGAGAAUAGCAAAGUUGAUUUUUUUAAUGAGAAAAAAAAAUCUCCUUCCAACAAGAGCAUGGCUUUGCCGGCACAGUGGCCUGCACAGAAAGGUGACAUUUGAGAGAACAAUUGCUAGGCUGUUUCUCCAUGCCUGCUGCUAUGAAAGAGGCUUAAGAAAAGGUGUCCUUGGACUGGUGUUAAUAGUCAUCUUCAUCAUUCCUUCCUUCAUGUGCGCUCUAGCAAACACUGCUUUAUGAAAUAGGGGCACACUGCUAAUAAACAAAGCACUAUAAAAGAUCAGAUGGUAGUACUCUCCAGCCUCACUUCCUCUCUGCUCGAAGGACGACAGCAGCCGCCUCCUGACUGCCAUAGCUCUCUUUGCAUUACUAUCCCAUCUGUUCUGAGUUAUCCUUUUAGGCCUUUCUUUAUCUCAGUUUUGUUAAUCCUGGUUAUUUUUCCAGGCUAGAAAACAAGCUUAACAUAAUGGCAAAACAAUUUGGUAUGGAGCAUGCCACUAUUCUGUUUGGAAGAGACUUUAGCUUUCACUUUUGUUUUGUUUUCAAAACCACCUUUUGAGCAUCUGUUUUUCAAAGCUGGAAAUUUGAACCUUGGCUAGUGGGAAAUACACAAUGAUCUCUUGGUAAGACAAUCUGCAGUGAAGGCCUAGUUGGCUUCUGAAACACUUGCUGGACACCUUACCAGCUACAUUAGGACAAGGUUAACAAAAGGAGAAAACAACUAUAAUGGCAUUUUUCUAUACCAAAGACUGUAAAGGGUCCUAACCUGUGGAAAAGUCACCAACAUGCUAUGCUGCAAUAUACAGAGAAGGCCACUGGGAUCUUAUUGAAGAUACAAUUCAGAAAAGAAAGCAAGCCACAUCCUACUUGCCCUGGAGAGCUGAAAUGUACCUUCUGUCUUUUUUUCAGGAAUGAAAAAGAAUUUACGUGGAAUAGCCAGAACAGAAGGACUUAUGAGCAAUACACUGGCUUUAUCCCAAGGCAAAAGAGGUGGAACUGGCAUACCUUGUGGAAGAAAAAACAAAGAUCCACCCAGGUUCAUUUCAUCCAUAACAUGAUCAGAUGAUGCUUGCUUGCUACCAUGACAUACCCACAUGGCACCUGAUGGGAGAUUUUCUAAACCUGUUUCACAUCCCUCAUGGGCACGUUUAGCCAGAAACACACCCUUACACAGCUUUCUAUAUUUGACAUGCAGCAGUUGGAAAGAUACAGGGUAAUCUCUCAUGAUUAUGUCUCAUUGCAGGAGACUACACAAAAACAUAUGCUCAGAAAACAAUUGAUAGAGGUUUCUAAAAUUAUACACAAGAGGAGAAACAGGAUGCAGAGAAUUUUUCUCCUUCUCUGGAUCACUAACCUCAGGCUCACACAUUUCAUGACAGAUUCAAGGCCAAUGAAAUGGAAUUUUCAAUGAAUGCAAAAAUAAAGUAAAGGAAUUUUCUGCCAUAAAUAUGUGAUGAUGAUGCUUGCAGUUGACUUGAAUUGCUUAAAAAGUGGUUUGAUAAAUUCAUGGCUGAGAAGAGGACUAUCAGCAAUUAUGCCCCUGAUAGCUAAUCAAACCAAUAUCAGACAGAGCUUGGAAAUAAUGCAUUUUGAGUAAUGUUAUUUAGAAGCAGAAAGACAAUGGAGCAAAUGCUCUUUCUUCCUAUCAAGUUAAAGCAUUACAUUGUGGAAAAACAUGUUACAUGUUAUUCCCCCAGUUUGAUAUUUUACGGUCACUGAAGUGGAAAGCUUGGCUAUUUUUUGUCCUUUCUGCUACAUUUUAAAAUUAAAACAUUAAUUGUACAUUAUGAACACAGUACCCAACUUUUUAAUAUUGAUGAUUGAGAUCUUUGGCUAUAGACAUAGUUAUGAAUGUAUAUCUACAAUUUUUCUUCCUAAGUCUGUCUUAACAACCAGCAGUUGCAUCAAAAGAGGGAAUUAUUUUCUGCUGGUGUUCAGGACACUGCAAGAUGGUGUUUUCAGCUCUCUAAAACCACAAUUUGUGCUGUGACAAUCAGAAACAAGACUCCAUCAUAUUUUCGUACUGUAGCUUGGGAAGGGGUUGGCUAUGUCAUCCUAAUGGAAUUGAUUUCCAUUGCUCAAUGUAGCUGCUAACUGCUAAGGUAGGUUGGAUAGAGGGGGGUAGCAUUUGUAUUUCUAGUGGAAGUACCACAGUUGUAAAUAUGAACAUGAAGGAGUAACAAAAGGUUUAUGUAUCUGUAACUGCUCAACAGGAUGCCAGCCAAUAUAGUACAAUCUCUGUAUCAAUGUAAUGCCAGACUACCCCCCCCCCCAGCUAAAACCAUGAAUAAUAAUGAGUCCUAGAUUUUGAUUAUAUAUGGGCUAGAAGUAUACUAUAGAAUCACACUGAAGAAUCUGAAGAGACCCACAAACCUUUCUGGGGAGUAGGGAGAGGUUAUUUUUUGGAAUAUGGGUAAGUAAAAUAUUGAGCAUGGGGUGUACUAUAUGUUAUAAAUAUUAUAGCACUAUAUUAGCCAUUUUACAUAUUAAUUCUAGGUUCUGGUGGUGGAAUAUGGUAUCCCAUUCUUGAUCAGAUGCAGGAAGAGCAAGUCUAGGGUAAGGGCUCAUUCCAGGAGUGAGGAUGUACUUGACCACUUGCAAUCUAGGGGUCCUUCCAGACCCUAUGAGAUUUUUACCUGAGGUAUCCAAAUAAUGCCUCAGGUAAAAGCGAAGUAAUUCAAGACCAAAUUAUUUAGAUACCUCAUUAGAUCUUGGUUUUCCCUCAAAUGCCCAGUACUAAUGGGGUAUGAGUCCUGUGGGCAUUCAUUCCGUGUAGUCCUGGGACUAUCCAGGGGCCCAUCCCCACAGCCCACCUUGGUUCUUUGGGUUUCCAGGAGGGUGACCCCUCCCCAACCCCCCAAAAGCCUUAAAAUAAAGGAAAACUUACCAGGUUGCAGGCCUCCUGGAGCAUACCAAUGACAUACUAGGAGGUGCCAAGGGGAUCACUCCUGCCCCGCACUCCCAGCGCUUCAUUUGUACAUACCAGAAGGCCUGCAGAAAGUCUAAUGGCAACCUGGUAAGUUUUCUUUUGUUUUAAGGCUUUUUUAGGCAGGGUGGUGGUGGUGGUGGCAAUUUUUGGGAUUGUAUGAGCACAGCUAGUGGGCGAAGUCCAUUUUUUCCCCCUGGGUUUGGGGACUUAAACUGGUUUAAACUGCUCUGAAGCGAUUUAAUGUAUGUCUGGAAGCACCCUAGGAGUCCCCCUAUGAGGCCAUCUACUUCUGACAACAGUAGUAGUAGCUGUGAAAUCACCACUGCCAGGUAUUUGAAAGCCUGUAAGUGAUUAAAUUUAUGUCUGCUGAAAUUCAUUUAAUUAACUUGAUGCCAGUACUCCGUUCUCCUAAGAUCAUCUUCCAUCUUGAGUCUGUCUUCUUCAAUAUUAGCAACCCUUCCUAAUUUUCUGUCAUAUUUCAAAUCAAAGUGAUUUGAGGAGGAGCACUGAUAUUAAAAUCAGAAACUAUUAUUUGUGACUAUGGCUACCAUCCUCCUCCUCCUCAUCAUCAACAACAUCAACAUCCAGGUUUGUUCUGGUUUCAGAAGAGAAUUUUGAAUUAUUGUAUAAAAGAUGGUAUUCUGUUGUCUGAUCAGUAGUAGCUAGCACCAAACUUUCCAGUUCUGUACAAAGUGAAUCAAAGUUCUCUGUCAUUUUUGUCACUACAGGAAGAGUAGCACCUGCUUUCCAAAAAUGACACAUGCUGGUAGCUCAUAAUAAGGAUCUACAAACUCCAUCAUGCAGCCUUUUGUGGCAGUUGGGAGGAAGGGGGAAACAACUGGUACUGCCUUCUCUAUUUUCUCUAUUAUCUCCCACCACUCGUGAAGUAAAAAACUAUGAAAAGUGAAAAGGUUCAACACUCCAUUUCUUCUCAAAAGAGUAGAAUUAUAUGCUUUUACAAAAACGAUGUUCUAUGUCUGCCAAAUACUUAAACAGUGUGUGUGCAUGCCCGCACUAGGGGAAAAAAGAGAGAGAGAUAGGGGGAAAAAGAGAGAGGGGAGGAACUCUGGAAUAAAGGAAGGAAGCAGCUGUUGAGUUUGUGUAAAAUACAGUUACAAAGAAAAAGAAAUAGAAAAUUGCUAACAAAACCACAGAAGGAAAAAUAAUAUAAUUUUCCCCUUUUAAAUAGAAAACUGCAAAGUUUGCCACAUUUCAUAAAAAUAAUCUUACAGGGAUUUUCAUGCAAUAUGAAUUCAUUGCCUCAGUAGUUUAAAUAAUAUUAAUAUUAACCGCAGUCAACAAUAUGUUCUAAUAAAAAGUUAUAGCUCUUUGUUGAUAUUAUUAUUAUUAUUAUUAUUAUUAUUAUUAUUAUUAUUAUUAUUAUUAGGAAGAAUUUGUGUAUUUGGGAAGGGGAAUGCUGAGGCUGUGUUGUGGAUUUGUGGCUGAAGAUUUAAAGUGAAGUGCAAUGUCCUUCCAAGGCUCUGAACUGAAACAGUUCUCUAUCCAAAUCAACAAGGCUGGUUCUGAACUAAGUACUUUUCUCAGAACUAGUUGCCAGCUUUUCUGGAUUUUCUCAUUGAUCAGCAAUCUUUUGGCUUUCUCUGAUGACUUGUAGUUAUAUUUGAGAUCAGUGAUUUAAGAGCUGUUUAUUGUUGAUUGCCCUUAACCUUACUUAGGCUGACCUUAUGAAUGAGAGACCUUGUUGUAUCGCAGUCUGCAUCUGAGCUGUCAGGUGAGCCUUGUGAGCCUUGGGUUGGGCCUGUUCAGCCUGUGAUUGUACUAGCAUCUGACAAGUCAAAAGACUCUGGGUUGGAGCCUAGAAUUCCCAUGCAGCCGGAUGAGACCGCUGUUCCUGGACAGCCAGAGUUAGAGGAGGUUGCUGCCCCUGAGGAUUCUGGGAACAAGCACACAAUGUUUUAAAGCAGGCAGCUUGAACUGAUUCCUUGGGAGAGUGAAGGUCGAACUUUCCCUUGCUAGAUGGGCAUUUCAGUUGUGCUAAGACUAACGGGAUUGACAGAAAGAAAGCUAUAUGUGAACAGAGACAAGAAAGGGAGGUUUUGAGAUGCAGAAAAAGGCUGUUAAUGAGAAAAGGUUUUGAACAAACUUUCCACAGAAAGAAGCCUUGAUUUCAGCUUCAAGAGGAACUGCUUCUGAGAGAGAUUUUCAGAGGUGGUAACUUUGCUCAUUGAGCAUGGUUCCUGUUCAUGGACUCAUGUUAUCCUGUUUCAUGUUCCUGUGGGUUUUCAUGUAGCCUUGUAUCUUGAGUUUUGUUCCAAUCUUGGUUCUUGUUCCUGGGGAUUUUGGAUUACUAAGUUAUUGUUCCUGUAAGCCUUGCAGUUUGCAUCUCUUGUUCCAGUUAAAGAUAUUUUAUUUGUUCCAGUUUUGUUCCUGUGCCUUGGACUAAUUUUGAUACCUUGUUUGAAGUUUAUUCUUGUUUUUGAUUUCCAUGGACCCUUGCUUCAAGUACCUGAUGGACUAAAACCUUGUUUCAUUGACUUUGAACUUUGAUUUGCUUCUGCUUACAUAUAUCUAUAUAUAUAAAAGGAUUAUGGAAUCGCGGCACCGAGCAAAACAACAAAAGUAAAGGCCCCCCAACCUCGAAAUUUGACAACACAACCCAUCAUCCAAGCCUUAAGGUUGAAACAACACAAAAUCACGUCACACACCUCCACAUGGACAGAAUCCACAACGCACCAUCGGGAGCCAUGCCGGGAGGGAGGGAAAGAGAAAGCAUAAUGGCCGGCCGGCAAGAGGGAAGGCAGGCAAUGGGAAAAAGCUGUCCCCUGGGUCCUAGCGCCCGCCCAUCAUCCGAAUUAUUUACAGUAGAGUCUUACUUAUCCAAGCCUCGCUUAUCCAAGUUUCUGGAUUAUCCAGGCUGGCAGGGAAGAGGAAAGGCAGGCAAUGGGAAAAAGUUGUCCCCUGGGUCCUAGCGCCCGCCCAUCAUCCGAAUUAUUUACAGUAGAGUUUCACUUAUCCAAGCCUCGCUUAUCCAAGUUUCUGGAUUAUCCAAGCCAUUUUUGUAGUCAAUGUUUUCAAUAUAUCAUGAUAUUUUGGUGCUAAAUUCGUAAAUAAAGUAAUUACAACAUAA